CCGCAGCAUGGGUGACGCUUGGAUGUUUGGUGUGUUGCAGGCACCCGUGGUGUUUUCCAGUGUCCCGGAAUGAAGUUCGUGUCUAGCUGUCCGGAUUUCGGCCGACACUUUACCCUGAGGUGCCAGCAGCGAACAGCCGGAACUCUAGCUACGCCACGAACUUCUGUGCUGCGUUUCUGAUGGCUGGCAGACAGUCGUGUGCCAUAAGGUGCACUUCUUGACACUUAAACGGUUGGCACCACAUGUUCAAGCAGCGGUACAAAUACAUUGAAGAAAUCAGGGAGGUUGGCUACUUGUGCAAUGCAUGCUUACCCAUUACAACACAUCUACAUUGGAUUUUUGUCUCCCUAAUUUGAGAAGAAGAGUGUAAAAUGAAAUUUUUCCAAGUGUGAGGUAGAUUAAUUUU